rnacentral:precursor_RNA from 12 species
UGAAGAAGUCGAAUAGAUAGCAGUGGGGUCAUUUCUCCCCUUCGAGCUCAGGGGGUAGAAUAGCACCUGAACUGUGGAGAGAAAAGACUCCUAUGUUGCCUUUCAACAUUCAUCAUU